GAGGAUAGAGUCUCAAGAACUUUCUGUGAUAGUUUGAAUCCAUAAUGACUGGUUCUAGAUUGUAUGGAGUCGAUACUGGAGCAAGGCUAGGUAUCCCUUCUCUAGGCUGGUUAAUAAGCUCCUUUACCAUGUGGUAUAACCAAUCAAUAUGCUCCUAUAAGGACAUGUAAUCGGUAUGUUGCUCCGGUGGAGUCCGUCCAC
rnacentral:lncRNA from 1 species